rnacentral:tRNA from 1 species
AGUUAAAAAGCUUUAGUAAGCAUUUACUUUGAAAGUAAAACAUGAUGGUUAAAUUCCAUUAUUAACUU